GACGAACGCUGGCGGCGUGCUUAACACAUGCAAGUCGAACGGAAAGGCCCUGCUUGCAGGGUACUCGAGUGGCGAACGGGUGAGUAACACGUGGGUGAUCUGCCCUGCACUUCGGGAUAAGCCUGGGAAACUGGGUCUAAUACCGGAUAGGAGCCAUUUUUAGUGUGAUGGUUGGAAAGUUUUUUCGGUGUAGGAUGAGCUCGCGGCCUAUCAGCUUGUUGGUGGGGUAAUGGCCUACCAAGGCGGCGACGGGUAGCCGGCCUGAGAGGGUGGACGGCCACAGUGGGACUGAGAUACAGCCCAGACUCCUCCGGGAGGCAGCAGUGGGGAAUAUUGCACAAUGGGCGCAAGCCUGAUGCAGCGACGACGCGUGGGGGAUGACGGCCUUCGGGUUGUAAACUCCUUUCGAUAGGGACGAAGCUUUUUGUGACGGUACCUAGAUAAGAAGCACCGGCUAACUACGUG
rnacentral:rRNA from 1 species